GCGGUGGCUCCGCGGGUUCCCGGAUGUGCCGCGCGGUGGCUCCGCGGGUUCCCGGAAGGGCCGCGGGGUGGCUCCGCGGGUUCCCGGAUGUGCCGCGCGGUGGCUCCGCGGGUUCCCGGAUGUGCCGCGCGGUGGCUCCGCGGGUUCCCGGAUGUGCCGCGCGGUGGCUCCGCGGGUUCCCGGAAGGGCCGCGGGGCUGGGCCUGGACACGGGGCGCCUUUACACCCGCUGCGCCAGCGAUCCCGCCGGGCGGUCACUCUCCCCAGAAGUCUGAAACGCGAACCCUGGUCUUGGGUCAGAUUCCCGCUCCGUUUGGCCUGGCGUUGUGGGCAGACCACGGGAUCUGGAGUGCUCGGUCCCAGGCCCGUUCUGCCCCCGCUGUGCAAACGGGGAGAUUCACGCUGCCUCACCGCCCCCCGUCCCCCCAUCCUCUAACCCCCUCCCACCCCAGCCUCCUCUGUGAAGCACCCACUUGCUGGGAUUCCCAGGGGCGUCGGGAGGAAGGAGGCCGAGCCUCAGUGCUUUCUAAGUGCCCCUAAUUCUUCCCUGGGGCAGCACGAACCAUCCAGGCAGCUUCAUUCCUACGGGGUACAUACCAAUUUCCAUGAAAAGAAGCAAGAGAUCCUGAUGGAUAUACAUACAAAAGCAUGGAUUUUGGAAGAACAUUCAGUUCCACAUGGUUAAUGAACUUCUGAGCCUCAGAACACGUUUAUCACAUGGAUUUAACAAAGUUUGAGGAGAAUUAACUGAACAAAUGAACAUGAAAACUCUUACAGUCUCCAAAGUGAGCAAAAUGAGGACCACAGCUGGAAGCACAGGCAUAGCUGUUUUCAUUGCACUCUGCAGACACAGCAUGUUUUACAAAGUCAAGACUUCCCAAUUCCAAGACACAACAAUAUUGAAAUUAGGCCAGUUAAUUACCUUACAGUGUCCUCUAAGUGUUCAUGAAAGAAAGAGUUGCAUGUCUGUCACUUCAAAUCAAAAGCUAGAAAUGAUUAAGCUUAGUGAGGAAGGCAUGUCAAAAGCUGAGGUAGGCCAAAAGCUAGGCCUCUUGUGUCAGUUAAACAAGUUUUCAAUGCAAAGGAAAUGUUUUUGAUGCAAAUUAAAUGUGCUACUCCAAGGAACUCAUAAAUGUUAAGAAAGCAAAACAGGCUUAUUGCUGAUGUGAAGAAAGUUUUAGUGGAAAGAAGCUCAAACCAGCCAUAAGAUUCCCAUAACGUUCCAGCUAAGAUCACUGAUGAAGGUGACUGCAGUAAAAAAGAAUUUCCAUGCGGAUGAAACAGCCUUCUAUUGGAAAGAAGAUGCCAUCUAGGACUUUCACUGCUUCAGGGGAGAAGUCAAUGCCUGGCUUCAAAGCAUCAAAGGACAGGCUGACUCUCUUACUAGGGGCUAAGGCAGCUGGUGACUUUUGGUUGAAGUCAAUACCCAUUUACUAUUCCCCAAAUCCUGGAGACCUUAAGAAGUAUGCUAACUGCACUCUGCCUGUGCUCUGUAAACGGAACAGCAAAGCCUGGACAGCAGCACACCUGCUAAGGGCAUGGUUUAUUGAAUGUUUUAAGCCUAAUGUUGAGACCUACUGCUUGCGGGAAAAAAAAAUCCUUCCAAAAUAUUGCUCAUUGAUUGGCAAUGCCGAUGAAGAUGUGCUAGAAGAUGAAUGUCAUUUUCAUGCUUGCUAACACAGCAUCCACUCUGCAGCCCAUGGAUCAAGGAGUUAUUAUGAUUUUUAGUCUUAUUAUUUAAGAACUAUAUUUCAUUAGGCUAUAUCUGCCAUAGACUGUGAUUCCUCUAAUGGAUCUGGGCAGUCAACUGAAAACCUUCUGGAAAGAAUUCACCAUUCUAGAUGCCAUUCAGAACCUUCAUGACUUAUGGGAAAUGGUCCCAUUAUUAAAAAGAACAGGAGUUUUGGGAGCAGUUUUGGGGAUUGUUGCUGUGCAAGUUGUUUGUGGUCAAACAUAUGAAGACAGGGGAGGGGAAGCUCUGAUGUGAGCGUGAAGUAGCCCCUCCCCACCUUGAGAAAAGUCUGCCUGAAAGGCAGGGGAAGAGCUAGAAAGAGCCUCUCAGUGCCAAGGAAAGCGACCCAAGAGAGGAAGCAGUUCCCAUGCCAAAAAAGACAUCAGAAAUAGCGUCAAGUGUAGGCACCAAAGUCCCAAGAGGAUGGAAAACAGACUGUACUGAUGGAGGCAGAUCUGGAGGAAGAUGUGGAGAUCCCAUGAAUUUAGACGUGGAGUUCUUGGCUGAGCCUGAGAUGGAGGCGGCUGAGGGAAAACACGCUACAGAAGUGUGUGGAGCAGGGCAGAGUCUCUGCUACCUCUACGCAUACAUUCAUAUUACUUCCCUAAAGGGAAUUCAGCAGAUGAACCACACAAGUUUUAAGCCUUUCACUAUAAUCUCAAGAAAGCUUGUUUCAUUUUAUGUUUAGCAACUGAAAAACGUGUAGAACUUUGAAAGGUGUAAGACUGGUUAGAAAUCACAUUGGUUACCUAUUUUAGUGCCAACUGUAUGUAACAAUAAAUGAUAAGAACAACUUUUUAUAAGUUACUAUAGAAAACUGUUUGCUGCAGACCAGGCAGUCUGGAUGUAAACCCUGCUUGUGCCAAGGAUCAGUUGGGUGAUUUCAGCCAGCAUAGGGUCUCUGGGCUCACCUUCCUCAAUUUCAAAACAGGGGCCUAAGAGGUCCCUCCGGGUAUUGUGGUGAUGAUUUAAAUAUGGGCAAUGCUUGACACAGUAACAUUUACAUAUUAAGAUAAUGAAAAAUAAUAAUUUGGA